CAGGUGUACAUGAGUUCCCAACCCUGAACCCCCCUCCCAUCACCCUCCCCAUAUCAUCUUUCUGGGUCACCCCAGUGCACCAGCUCCAAGAUUCCUGUAUCCUGUAUCAAACCUAGACUGGCGAUUUGUUUCUUACAUGAUAGUACACAUGAUUCAAUGCGAUUCUCCCAAACCAUCGCACCCUCUCCCUCUCCCACAGAGUCCAAAAGUCUGUUCUUUACAUCUGUGUCUCUUUUUCUGUCUCGCAUACAGGGUUAUCAUUACCAUCUUUCUAAAUUCCAUAUGUAUGUGUUAGUAUACUGUAUUGGUGUUUUUCUUUCUGGUUUACUUCACUCUGUAUAAACGGCUCCAGUUUCAUCCACCUCAUUAGAACUGAUUCAAAUGUAUUCUUCUUAAUGGCUGAGUAAUAUACAUUGUGUAUAUGUACCACAGCUUUCUUAUCUGUUCAUCUGAUGAUGGACAUCUAGGUUGCUUCCAUGUCCUGGCUAUUAUAAACAGUGCUGCAAUGAACAUUGGGGUACACGUGUCUAUUUCAAUUCUGGUUUCGUUGAUGUGUAUGCCCAGCAGUGGAAUUGCUGGGUCAUAAGGCAGUUCUAUUUCCAGUUUUUUUAAGGAAUCGCCACACUGUUCUCCAUAGUGGCUGUACUAGUUUGCAUUCUCACCAACAGAGUAAGAGGGUUUCCUUUUCUCCACACCCUCUCCAGCAUUUAUUGCUUGUAGACUUUUGGAUCGCAGCCAUUCUGACUGGCAUGAAAUGGUACCUCAUUGGGGUUUUGAUUUGCAUUUCUCUGAUAAUGAGUGAUGUUGAGCAUCUUUUCAUGUGUUUGUUAGCCAUCCGUAUGUCUUCUUUGGAGAAAUGUCUAUUUAGUUCUUUGGCCCAUUUUUUGAUUGGGUCGUUUAUUUUUCUGGAAUUGAGCUGCAUAAGUUGCUUGUAUAUUUUUGAGAUUAGUUGUCAGUUGCUUCAUUUGCUAUUAUUUUCUCCCAUUCAGAAGGCUGUCUUUUCACCUUGCUUAUAUUUUCCUUUGUUGUGCAGAAGCUUUUAAUUUUAAUUAGAUCCCAUUUGUUUAUUUUUGCUUUUAUUUCCAGAAUUCUGGGAGGUGGAUCAUAGAGGAUCCUGCUGUGAUUUAUGUCUGAGAGUGUUUUGCCUAUGUUCUCCUCUAGGAGUUUUAUAGUUUCUGAUCUUACAUUUAGAUCUUUAAUCCAUUUUGAGUUUAUUUUUGUGUACGGUGUUAGAAAGUGAUCUAGUUUCAUUCUUUUACAAGUGGUUGACCAGUUUUCCCAGCACCACUUGUUAAAGAGAUUGUCUUUACUCCAUUGUAUAUUCUUGCCUCCUUUGUCAAAGAUAAGGUGUCCAUAUGUGUGUGGAUUUAUCUCUGGGCUUUCUAUUUUGUUCCAUUGAUCUAUAUGUCUGUCUUUGUGCCAGUACCAUACUGUCUUGAUGACUGUGGCUUUGUAGUAGAGCCUGAAGUCAGGCAAGUUGAUUCCUCCAGUUCCAUUCUUCUUUCUCAAGAUUGCUUUGGCUAUUCGAGGUUUUUUGUAUUUCCAUACAAAUCUUGAAAUUAUUUGUUCUAGUUCUGUGAAAAAUGUGGCUGGUAGCUUGAUAGGGAUUGCAUUGAAUUUGUAAAUUGCUUUGGGUAGUAUACUCAUUUUCACUAUAUUGAUUCUUCCAAUCCAUGAACAUGGUAUAUUUCUCCAUCUAUUAGUGUCCUCUUUGAUUUCUUUCAUCAGUGUUUUAUAGUUUUCUAUAUAUAGGUCUUUAGUUUCUUUAGGUAGAUAUAUUCCUAAGUAUUUUAUUCUUUUCGUUGCAAUGGUGAAUGGAAUUGUUUCCUUAAUUUCUUUUUCUACUUUCUCAUUAUUCGUGUAUAGGAAUGCAAGGGAUUUCUGUGUGUUGAUUUUAUAUCCUGCAACUUUACUAUAUUCAUUGAUGAGCUCUAGUAAUUUUCUGGUGGAGUCUUUAGGGUUUUCCAUGUAGAGGAUCAUGUCAUCUGCAAACAGUGAGAGUUUUACUUCUUCUUUUCCAAUUUGGAUUCCUUUUAUUUCUUUUUCUGCUCUGAUUGCUGUGGCCAAAACUUCCAGAACUAUGUUGAAUAGUAGCGGUGAAAGUGGACACCCUUGUCUUGUUCCUGAAUUUGAGAGUUAUAUUUUAUUCAGUGGACAAAACUGAGGACCUAAGCCCAGGAUGCAGGCUCAUAGAUAGCUCUGAGGGACUGCUCUGAAGAAGGAAGGGAGUAGCCAGGAUACAUAGCAGUUUUUGCAACAAAGACUGGG
rnacentral:lncRNA from 1 species